UAAAUUACGAUACAGAAAUGUCUGUCGUGGCGUUGACGAUGCACGGUGGUGUAAACCGCACGUAACGUAUAGUGUUCAAAAUGUUGAUGUACGUGGAGGACAGCGUGAUUGCUAUACCGAUCGCUACUAUGAAAUAGCCGAAAUCGCUCGUAAGCGUUUGGGUGUGAAUUCUGGUUGACUUUGUGGCGUCUGAGAGAAGUGGCUGAUUCUCUUGCUGAGAUCUGGAGGUAAUCGUACAAGAGUUGGCACCUGUGAGGAUUGUUCGUAGUAUUCAGGAAACCGUAGUACGUUGAAUGCGAGUGAGCUCCAGGGGGCAUUGAACGUUGCUCUUUGCCCCUGAAUCGUUUACGAGCACUUGGAUAAACCCAUUCUGUGGUUGCUAUCGCUUGAGUCGACUUCUUCAGAGUCAAGGCUCGGUUGUACAUUACGGGAGGUAACAGAAAGACUAAUGAUCCGGUCAACGAUCCACCAAUUAGAGUCAUAAUAAUAUCGAAUCGCGAUAUCGAUUCGCCUAUAGCCACGCUGAGUAAAACUACCGCCGAUCUCGUGGCACAUCGUUUCCAUCCAAAGGCUGGUCCAGCAUAAUAUCAAAUGAUCUUCUAGAUGUUGGAAGAGCGCUGAGUAGCCAAUCACGCUAGAAAAGCAUAGCUGAAGAGCUGCUAAUAGAACAGCAACAUUUGCUGCCAGUCCUGGUGGAACAGCUUCGAGGAUAUUGGCAGUCGUAUCGUCACUAUACUUCCAUGCGACUAGGGAAACGGUAACGACGAACAUUGAUCCGCUUGCUAUCGUGUAACAAAAAAGUAAUCUAGAGCCUCAGCCUCAUUGAAUGAAAUUAAGUAAAAAUUGAACAUAUAUUGGAUUCAUUGGAUAUAUGAACGUGAGAAGAUUGAUAUCGAGGGAUUAAUAAUUGCACAAUUAUUUGACACUUCUGAUAUACAAAGAUAAAACGUACAAAAAUAUAAUUUACUGUUUCUUACUUAUGAAAGAAAAAAAGAUAGCUUUGUCGAUAUUUUGAGGCUGACGCAUAUCGACCUGUAUCGUCAUUAGAGUGGGGUGUACAUCAAACUGAAAGGCCAGCAUGCCAUACCUGCAAAUUGUCUUUGAAAUUAUGUUAUUAUUUUUUCGUUUUUGUAUGCCAUAUCCGAACUGCCAGAAGUAUGCGGUCUUUCACAUAUACGUGUGUUGCGUAAUUAGAGCGUUGAUGUGUAUACAGGACCUACAGCUUAGACGGCAGAUGGCCGGUUUCGAACCGAAAGAACAGUUAAUAUAUUAGAGAGAUUUCCUGGGCUCGCUCUCUAUUAUAUUAUAUCGAUCAUUAAAUUUGAUAUAAGACGCAGACGAUUAUUUAUAUAAAAAAAUGUUGAUGUGUUAAGGAUUACUUAAUUAUUGUACAAUUAUAUUAUGGAGAUAUUUCUUUAACACACGUACGAAGGUGUACAUAAAACUGGUUAUUAUAUUUACCCAGAAAGAAAUUUAUUCCACGUUGGUGAAGUUGUUAUUGGUGCAGCAUCAAAUAUUCGAUCAUCAAUAAUAAUGCUCCACCAUAUUAAUAUAGUUGUUAAAACAACCGUUACGCUAGAGCAUGUUGCCACCCAUCUAUAAUAAUUUACAGGUAAUUUCUGUAUAAUUGCGUUACAUUUUUUAAGUUAUUAAAAUAAAAGUUUAUCCACA
rnacentral:lncRNA from 1 species